AUGCGUGCCUGGCCCUCUCCUCUGCUUUGGAGCUUAACCGCGGCAUGGCUGACAGCUGCUGCCUCAGCCUCUGCACCCCCAGUUCCUGCUGCGACACUCUCGGCUGGAGUGGUGUCCACCACGCCAAACCUUGCCGCAUCCACGGGAGCGCCGUCUACUGACCCAAGCGUGGGAACAUCAGCUCCAGUUUUGUCCACCACCCCAGAGGCAACAGUGCUCACUUCUGGAAGCGCGACCACCUCUCGCAAGCCCAGCGCAGCGCCCACCAGUGCCCCGUCCUCCCCUCUGGCUGUGACGGUGUCUCCCAGCGUCCCAUCGGCAGCUCCGUUCCUCACCACCUCAGAGCCCUUGGGCUGCGGCAGGGUGAACGUGACAGCGUGUGAACACUGUUCCCCAGGGACAUUUCCCAAUGAUGGCACCCUGAGCUGCUUGUGCUGCUCGCGGGGCUCCUGCGCGGGCCCUGCUGACUGCGUCCCCUGCCCGGUGGGUCACUACCAGCCCCUGAGCGGCCAACAGUCGUGUCUGCCCUGUCCGCAGGGGUAUUACGCCAGUUUUCGGAAGAGCACCGCAUGCUCUCCCUGUCCGCCUGGCUCUUACACUAACGAGUCUGGGGCUGCAGCUUGCAGAGCCUGCCAGCAAGGGUAUUUCAGCUCACAGCAAAAUGCAGCUUUUUGCCUGCCUUGCCUGCCUGGAUCAUUUUGCAACACCACCGGCUGCACCACGUGUCUGGCUUGCCCUGGUGGGACGGAGGCUCUUCGCAAGGCGUCCGAGGAGUGCACACCUUGCCUCCCAGGUAUGUUCAAAGGUCCUGAAGACAACAGAUGCAAGCUCUGCAAGGUGGGAGAAUACCAAUUACAGCMGGGCAAGGAGAGCUGUGACCUGUGCCCAGAACAUUACUACUGUCCUAGCCCAGAUGUGAACCCGGUCAAGUGCCCUGCUGAUGCCUUCUGCCCUGCCGGCAGCACUGAGCCCGAGUAUUGCAUGGAGGUGUUUCUUUACAAGGCAGGAGACUCUUGCCAGUUGGCCCCUCUGAUGAUCAUCCUCCUGGCCCUUUUCACAGCAGGGGGAAUCCUUGCUGUCUUUCUGAUAAUUCUGAAGAGAAGGCAAGAAUAUAGGAAGAAAUCUUUGAAGUCUCUACUGUUACCAAAAGGAUCAGGACAACACACAACGUAUGGUGUGAUGGAGCACACAGAACCAGUAUACACUGGUUGGUAGCAGGCUGUGAAACGUUAUCAACAAGCUUUCUGUUCGCUUUUCUGUAUGGCAAUAUGGAUGUGUGUAUAUGGGCAAAAUAUUAAUCACGAUCAACCUAUUUCAACCUAUGUAGCUAAAAUAUUUAAUUACACUAACCACAAGUGCACAGAAAUGCAAAUAAAUCAUUUAUCAGUUGUGACUACUUGUGCUAA
rnacentral:lncRNA from 1 species